rnacentral:rRNA from 1 species
GACGAACGCUGGCGGCGUGCUUAACACAUGCAAGUCGAACGCUGAAGCUUGGUGCUUGCACUGGGUGGAUGAGUGGCGAACGGGUGAGUAAUACGUGAGUAACCUGCCCUUGACUCUGGGAUAAGCCUGGGAAACUGGGUCUAAUACUGGAUACGACAUGCCACUGCAUGGUGGUGUGUGGAAAGGGUUUCACUGGUUUUGGAUGGGCUCACGGCCUAUCAGCUUGUUGGUGGGGUAAUGGCCUACCAAGGCGACGACGGGUAGCCGGCCUGAGAGGGUGACCGGCCACACUGGGACUGAGACACGGCCCAGACUCCUACGGGAGGCAGCAGUGGGGAAUAUUGCACAAUGGGCGGAAGCCUGAUGCAGCGACGCCGCGUGAGGGAUGACGGCCUUCGGGUUGUAAACCUCUUUCAGCACGGAAGAAGCGAGAGUGACGGUACGUGCAGAAGAAGCGCCGGCUAACUACGUG